rnacentral:rRNA from 1 species
UACGUAGGGUGCGAGCGUUGUCCGGAUUUAUUGGGCGUAAAGAGCUCGUAGGCGGCCUGUCGCGUCCGCUGUGAAAGCCCGGGGCUUAACCCCGGGUCUGCAGUGGAUACGGGCAGGCUAGAGGUAGGUAGGGGAGAAUGGAAUUCCCGGUGUAGCGGUGAAAUGCGCAGAUAUCGGGAGGAACACCGGUGGCGAAGGCGGUUCUCUGGGCCUUACCUGACGCUGAGGAGCGAAAGCGUGGGGAGCGAACAGG